rnacentral:lncRNA from 1 species
AUAAGAAUAUGAGAAUCACAAGAGUAUCUGAUUUUUUAUUUUUAUUGUUUUUAAAGGAAGCAGUUUGGGACAUUUACCAAGCAGCAGAAUUGUAGCAGACUGAAGCUUCAUCAGACACAGAAAAGACUACAGAGUCAGUGGACAGCUAAGAACUUACAAGUCCUUCUGUGGGCACCUCUGCUGAGGAGUCUAAGAAGAGUGUGGUUAAAGUACUGUGAGACAAAAGCAAGCCAUUAAUAGAGCCAACCAGGAUGAAAAUCAAGGAUGUUGCCUUGAUUACUUUGGAUGGUGAAAAGAA